CUAAAUAGAAAGAACUUGUGUAUUUUCUUUUUAAAGAAACCAGGACAAAUCUCCUUAUCCCUCCUUAGCCUGAAGCAGCCCCUCUGGUGGUCAGAGCACACAGCUCAGCUUCCUGUGUGACUCAGCCCCCUUCUCUGUGGUUUGGCUGGACUCCUGGGAAAGGCCACACCACCGAAAGGGAACGCCCAUGGCACCCUGUACCCAGCUCUUGUUCACCCUCCACAGGGGCCAGGUUUGACUGCCUCCAGGCCACCAAGAUACACAGACAAGCUGGGAUUCAGUUUGCAAGACCCAGUUUCCAUCCCCCACUGGUGCCAACAGCUUGCUGUAUUCAUAACCCUCUGGAUUCCUUCAGAGGAAGCCAGUUAUCUGCUAGACUUCCUUUGCUCUUCAAGACUCUAUCUUGGCAUCUCUGCCAAGGACAUGUUUUGGCUGGAUCCACUCCUCUGGCCUCUGCACAUCUCUGGAAAGCUGAGCUACAAGAAACAUAGCCCAGGAAGUAGAAAGAGAAAGGAGGUGGUUGUCUGUUUAAACACAGGAUCCUACAAGAGGAAUGUGCUCCAGGGACCAGGUGCCCAUUGGACCAGUGACCAGCAUCUUCCCAAGACUGUUCUGUUGCUGCUGCUGCUGCUAAAUUGCUUCAGUCGUGUCCAACCCUGUGCGACCCCAUAGAUGGCACCCCACAAGGCUCUUCUGUCCCUGGGAUUCUCCAGCCCCAUGGACUGUAGCCCACCAAUCUCCUCUGUCCAUGGGAUUUCCCAGGCAAGAAUACUGGAGUGAGUUCCCAUGUCCUUCUCCAGGGCAUCUUCCCAUGGAUGAUAGAACUCACGUCUCCUACAUGGCAGGCAGAUGCUUUUACCACUGAGCCGCCAGGAAACCUGGAUCAGCAAGAAGAAGAGGACACUGAGCACUGUUCUGUGAAACAUUCCUUAGAG
ensembl:lncRNA